UGCGGCCUACGGGAGGCAGCAGUGAGGAAUAUUGGUCAAUGGGCGCAAGCCUGAACCAGCCAAGUCGCGUGAGGGAUGACGGUCCUAUGGAUUGUAAACCUCUUUUGUCGGGGAGCAAGGCCCGCCACGUGUGGCGGGAAGGAGAGUACCCGAAGAAAAAGCAUCGGCUAACUCCGUGCCAGCAGCCGCGGUAAUACGUAGGGAGCGAGCGUUAUCCGGAUUUAUUGGGGGUAAAGGGGGCGUAGACGGGGAAAUAAGUUAGUUGUGAAAUCCCUCGGCUCAA
rnacentral:rRNA from 1 species